GUUAUGUAUUCCAUAUCAUUCUUCGUUGUUCUGUUUCAAUUAUCUGAGAUCUAUUUAUUUCGUUCACUAUUAGUUUUUCGUUUUCUUUUCAAUAUUCGUUCUUUCUCAUGAUCACUAUUUGUUCUCUUUCUCUCACUAUUCGUGUGUACUACUGGCCACUUGCAGACUCCUUACUUUCUUGUUUUUAUGUUAUCUCCUUUUUGGUCUUUAAAACACUAAUUCUUCCUUUCCUCAUCAGUCAGACUCCUUACCGGCCACUUGCAGACUCCUUAUGUUGUAAUGGAAUCUCCUUGUGGUCUUUAAAACAAUCCUUCCUUUCCCCACCGCUGCGUGCCCUUGAUCCCCGUUCCUUUCCCCCAGUAGAGGCUCCAGCCGAGCUCCAAAACGACCCCCAGCCGAGCCGGGCCCAGACGUCCACCCAAGGAACGCCAGGCCUCCCGCUUCUCCUGCUGGGGCUUCACCGUCUGCUGGGGCGCCACAGGACGAGAACGUGGUGCCUCUGGGUUCUCCUGGCUGCCUGUCUAGGGUUCUCCAGCGCCGUCAGGGGUACGAGUAGCCUUCAGGACGUCUCUCAGACAGGGCCCCACACUGUGUGUGGAGGAAAUUAUCAACGGCAUCCCGAGUAACGACAGCAGCACCCAGCCGGUGGCCACACAAGCUGCACGCAAGAUGCUCUCAGCCAGCCCCUAGAUGGCACCCCGGAUGCCGGCCUGGUGCACCCCCUUGUACGCCUCCUGGAGAGGGCAGACAAGUGAGUGUGGCCUGAGUGUUGUAACCAGAGGGCAGGGUUCAGGAUGUCUAUUUAUCCUCUUUAUAAAUUAAACUUUCAAGAGAGGAAUACCAAGGCUUUUCAAACUGAAACUGAUCACUCUUUUGACAUGUAUUAUGUCCAUAGGAGCACCACUUAGUAAUUUGUUUUGCCCUUUGACUGCCACCUGUAGUUUAUAAGUAAACUGAAUUACUAUUGUGCCGAUAUGAAGAAAGGAAAAUGUUCUAGAUAUGAAUGCCAAAUGGUUUGUACAAAUUGGCGACUAUUACUGUUACGUGUAGGAUUGCUUCACGACGAACGUGUGGAGAUGCGCGUCAUCUGAUGGCUGACAAGCGCCCUGCCGCAGCCCCGCCCUGCACGUUCUACACUGUUCCUUCUGCCCAUUCAGAAAUAAUAGCAAGGUUAAUCAUUCUGUGGCAUCCAGCCCUGAGUUGUAUUGUUCCUGCUGUGAGGGUCUCGCGUUGAAAAACGUGGAGGGGAACAUGAAGUCUUAAGAUGAAUAGAAGGAGGUAGAAAAGGGUGUCGCUUCUUGAUAGAAUCUUCCUGCUUUGUUUUUAUGUUGUAUGAACAAAUGAUUAGUUUGAAGUUUGUUCCUUCAUGUAAUCCACGUUGUUUGCCUCCCCAACAACCUCGGGUGCUGUCGUGUCGUUCGUCAAGCUGCUCCGCUCGCCGCACACCAACUUGGCAUGCAAAGCAAGCCGUGUGGGCGCCAGGAAACACUGCUGGCGAUGGCCCCAAACUCAGAAACUUCGUCAUUAAGGCUGGCAUUGUACAACCUCUUCUGGAACUCAUUAGACCAGACACAGAGACUACCGAGAUCAACGCGGUGGACCGCCUGGGCCAUAUGACUGAGGAGUGCGGUGGACUGGACAAGACUGAGGACUGCAGCACCACGACAACGAGGCCGUGUACGAGAAGGCUCUGGAUGGAUAUCAUCGAGAAGUGUUCCGACGAGGAGGAGGGCCCCGAGGUGAACACCACCACCAGUGGCCAGGCGUACGACUUAUCUGCCGUGAACAACGUGC